rnacentral:rRNA from 1 species
GACCGGCUCACGGGUGAGUAACACGUAUGCAACCUGCCCGCCACAGGGGGAUAAGCGGAAGAAAUUCCGUCUAAUACCGCGUGACGCGGCGCCGGGGCAUCCCGGUGCCGCCAAAGGGAUUACCGGUGGCGGAUGGGCAUGCGGCGCAUUAGCUAGUCGGCGGGGUAACGGCCCACCGAGGCGACGAUGCGUAGGGGUUCUGAGAGGAAGGUCCCCCACACUGGUACUGAGACACGGACCAGACUCCUACGGGAGGCAGCAGUGAGGAAUAUUGGUCAAUGGGCGGGAGCCUGAACCAGCCAAGUCGCGUGAGGGAUGACGGUCCUACGGAUUGUAAACCUCUUUUGCCGGGGAGCAAGCGUGCGUUCGUGAACGCGCGUCGAGAGUACCCGGAGAAAAAGCAUCGGCUAACUCCGUGCCAGCAGCCGCGGUAAUACGGAGGAUGCGAGCGUUAUCCGGAUUUAUUGGGUUUAAAGGGUGCGUAGGCGGGAUGCCAAGUCAGCGGUAAAAAUGCGGUGCUCAACGCCGUCGAGCCGUUGAAACUGGCGUUCUUGAGUGGGCGAGAAGUAUGCGGAAUGCGUGGUGUAGCGGUGAAAUGCAUAGAUAUCACGCAGAACUCCGAUUGCGAAGGCAGCAUACCGGCGCCCUACUGACGCUGAGGCACGAAAGCGUGGGUAUCGAACAGGAUUAGAUACCCUGGUAGUCCACGCAGUAAACGAUGAAUGCUAACUGUCCGGCGCGAAUGAGCGCUGGGCGGUACAGCGAAAGCGUA